GGAGUUUAAACUCUUGGAGCUUCAGUUUCCCUAUUAUUAACUUUGAGGGUCACACCAGUUUAGUACUUCUCACAUUUCAGUAUUUACUUCCUAUCUUUUUUAUUUUUGCCAUAUUUUCAUGCCACCUGAACUUCACUAAGUACUUUGUAUUUAAAUGGAUCCUCCUUUGACAACUUAAAUUUACUUCAUAAGCUACAGCUAUAUCAUUACUCCAAACAAAAACCAGAAUCACUUACAACAUAAAGAAGAAAACGGUGAUGUAAAUACAAUGCCAACAAAAAUAUACUAGCCCUUUGGUAUAUUCUGGCUAGAUUCUGCUGAGUGUGGAAAGCAAAAGAGAGUAGCUAAUGCUGGAGACCUCUUUGAUAUAAUCAGAAGCCUUAUAGAAUAUUUGAAAGGAACUCAUUUUGUCAUGGUGCAAGCCACUGCAGUUUCAUGCCUUGCCUGCGUACCACCUAGAAUCAACCUUAUAACCCUUGGGGGAGGUACUGUAUCACUGUGGAAACUAGCCCAAUGAUUCUUUAGAACUCGGCUAGCAAGUGGUAGGAAAGUGGAAAAAAAUAGUUUGUAGAAGUCAUUCCCUUUGGCAAAGGGAAAAAGUGAGACAAAUGCUUUGCUUUGCAAGUGUCAGCUGGUCACUUGUCCCUGCGUCUCUUCUUUCCUUUCCCUCAUGGUUUCAAUGGAAGCAGCAACACGAUGCUGCCCACGUCACCAGGAUAAAGACAGAAAGAGGCCAAUGCUGCCGAUAUCUGCCCCUGCAGUGGUCCUGGCUCUUUCCUCACCUUCCACGUCUGUCCCCACCAAGAUGCAAUAAGAGCCCAGAGGUCCUCUCAGUGUCGGGGCAGCUUCCUGCAGCCCCAUCCUGUUCCCAAAUUAAAACCAGACCUGUCAUAUCUUUGUAUUUUGCAUUUUGGCUACAUGGUGGGAUCUCUUCGGGGUACUGUUCCCAGUCUAUAUGGAAGUGAGUUGUGAAUGAUGAAUACCGUAGAUCAUCUUGUUUGUGAAUGGCACCUUAAUAUGCUGAAAGUAAUAUGAAGCCAUAUAUCUUUCCAGAAGAAUAUAUCCAGGUCCCGAAACAGCUUAAUAGACUCCCCCACCCCCUUCAGUUAUUACUGAGGUUCAUCAAAUGGAGCUCACCAAAAGACAUUAUGGCUUUUGACCAAAACUAAAAUUUCCUGUCUCUGAUUUCCUGUAAUUUUGAAGUUAUUUCCCUUCUGUCCUGUAACUUGUAAACCCAAAUCCCCAAAGUAAAAGAGGCCCUAUACCUUGGCUUCUUCCAUAGCCCUAUAAUAAAUAAUUAAUAUCUUACUGUUUUAUGGGGUUGCUUCGCCCUUUUAUGAGUACUGCAAGACUUUGCACAUUCCAUGGACAUCUAUGGAUGCUCCUUCAAUUCUCAAGGAAGCUAACAUUGUCAGUCAUUUUAAAUUUUAAUUAAGAUGUUCAGGAAGAAUAAAAAGCCUGUAAAAGGUUCUGGGUAGUUUAUGACUAAUAUUUCUUUAAACAGGUACUAAUUUUUUAAUCUCCAUAGUAACUGGGAGCAUCUAUGAGCUUGCUUCUUUAACCCAUGAUAACCAUUUUGUUGGCCAUUCAUCUUUAGAUGUUUUCUAGUUACUUAAGUCAUCUUAGAAAACCACAUCCAUUUUAUUUUUGCUUUUGUUCUCUUCAAAUUUAUAAAAUGUUCUUAUGUUUCUUACAUCUCUGUUUCUUCUCUCAUUGUUUCAGUCAUUGUCUUAGGUCAGCAUUUUUGAGACGUCUUAUGCAGAAGGGUAAUUCUAGGACAUUUCAAUGCCAAAACACUUUGCAAGAUGACACCUUAUUCUACUCUUGGAGAUUCCCAAUGCAUAUUAGCCUUUAAAAGGUUCUGAGAAUCCUAUGUAGUUAAGAAAACUGUUUAACAUUGCAUAACUGUAUUUUGCCAAACUCAUGCUCCCUCCGAGUGAUGUUUGGCACAGAUGUUCAACAGUUAUUUCUAGAGCUGCACUUAGAUAGUGGAUCUGUAUCCAAAGGAAGUACGGUAGUUUUAAAACAUGGCUUCAUAGUUUGUGUCUACUCCCCUUGAAUCUGGUUGGCUUCAAUCAAUAGAAUACAAUAGAAGCAUGCUCUGAGUAAAUCAUGCAUGCCCAAAUAGCUUUAGCCACAUCACAUUUGGAGUCCUAAGCUACCAAGUAUGACAUCUAGUUAGAUGUCAUAUCCUGCGACUUCCAUGAUGACAAGGCUGCAUGUAGGAAUAUUGAUCAACAACUAAGCCAUCUAGUUAGCCACUCUGUAGAAGGGUCCAGUCAUCUUGGAUCCACCAGACCCAGCUUAUGCACCAAGUUGACAUUCCAGCCAAUGUCAAUUGAUGUCAUGUAGAAUGGAAUGAUCUCCCAGCUGAGUUCUGAUUAAAUCCCUAACCUACAAAAUGGUGAAAAAUAGUAAAUUAGUUGUUGCUUAAACCUCUAAGUUUUGGGUUAGUUUGUUAUAUAGAGAUGGAUAACUGAAACAGGGAUGGUUGAAUUCCUAGAUGUGGUAGAGAAGCCUGAAUGCCUUCUCUGAGGCACUCCAAAACUAGAAAGGCCCAAGCCCAUUAGGGAAAGCUUGGAGUCAGGGAAUACCCAAGGAUCAGCACUUUGAUCAGGUUUGAUAAAUACAGUCAUCAGUUUAAUAUCAAGGAAAAGUAUGAUUGCAACAAGACCAAGCUGGAAAUGGAAACAUUUCUGUAAUAUCAUACCAUACCUUGUAUAUGGGUGUGCUGACUGGAUGUGCUAGGCUGAGACAGAGAGAGCAAUCACCUUUGCUGCCUGGACCUAAAUCUUCUGAUGUAGACAUGAAAGAGUCAACCACAUUCUCCUGUCAUAAAGGCCUUUAUGUCUCUGUCAGAAAUACAUCCAUGGGUUAGGUGAAACAUGGAGAAGAUUCUGAUGUUCUUAUGCCUAUGAAGAGAAAAGGAGUAACAGCAGGAGGAUAUUCAUGUCUAGAAGGGUCAGAGGAGUUAUGAUUGAUCACUGGUCAGUGCUCAGCUCUUGUGUUUAGAAAGCUUAUCACUCUGUCUUCCUAUUAAAGUUCAAUUGUCAGUGCUAAUGGAAAAGGGAACAGGAUUACCACAAUUUGAGAGAUCAUAAGAUCCAAAUGUCUUGACUCAUUUUCUAAGAUUCUGUAUUCAGUGUACUCUGGGCCAUUCAGUGGUAUUCUAAGAAUCCAUCGUUACCUCUUUUUUUUGCUUCUGACCAGUUUCCUAGUUUCUUCAUCUAGAUUCUUCUUUCUGUACACAUAUUCAUGUACAUGUACAUGAAUACAUACAUGUGCCUUUGUGGUAGUAGAGUGUGGUUGACUCUUUCAUGUCACAUCAGAAGAUUUGGGCCCAGGCAGCAAAGGUGAUUCCUCUGUCUCAGCGUAGAACAUCCAUAUACCAGGCAACACACCCAUAUACAAGGUAAGGUAUGAUAUUCCAGAGAUGUUGCUGUUUCUAAGAAUGUAUUUGUCAGGAAUAAGUUCCUCCCUUGAUAAGCUCUCAGUUCAGUUCAGUCACUCAAUCAUGUCUGACUCUUUGCAAUCUAAUAGACUGCAGCAUGCCAGACUUCCCUGCCCAUCACCAACUCCUGGAGCUUGCUCAAACUCAUGUGCAUCGAAGGACGAGAUGGUUGGAUGGCAUCACCAACUUGAUGAAUGUGAGUUUGAGCAGGCUCCCAGAGUUGGUGAUGGACAAGGAUGCUUGACGUUCUGCAGUCCAUGAGGUAACAGAGAGUCGAACAUGACUGAGUGACUGAACUGAACUGAGAGAGGCUUUCAGUCACAAGGAUUUAUCUCUCUUUUCUUGAAAUUGACUUAUGACUCAUGUUGAACAAUGGAGUACUUUGUCUUUAGUGACUGGACUGUGAUGGACACAUGAAUAAAUGACCUAUAGGAGUUUUUUUAAAAGAGAUUGAUAUGGAUAUUAGAGGAUGGAGUCACAGUCUUUAACCGUUGGAGUAACACAAACUAGAGAUUCUGGUGGUCAUCUUUGUCACCUCUUGGAAAAAAAUCUGCCUGAGAAUCAAAAGAAAGCAAAGCAGGACCAAGGGAUAAAGAAGAAAGGGUUUAGGAUGGAGGGGACACAUGUAUACCUAUGGCUGAUUCCUAUUGAUGUUUGAGAGAAACCAUCACAAUAUUUUAAUUAUACUCCAGUUAAAAUAAAUAAAUGCAUUUAAAUUAAAGAAAGAUUGUUGACAUUGUUUGGGCACCUGAAUGAAGUUAACCCAUAAACUUCUCAGGAACAUGAGUCAGCAGAUAACUUCCCUUUUUUUCUUUUAAAUUAAAACACUUCUUAUGUGCAUGCAAAAGAAGGUUUAUUCUCUCCUAUUGGAAUUAAGAAUUAGAUAUUUAGCCACAAGAUCUACAUUGCAGAUUGUGUUAACUAGGUCUUUUGUGCUUACAAUUUUAUUUGUCCUUUUACUAUAAGAAAUGUGUUAAAAUCAUCUUGUAGUAAUGCAUUUCUGUAUUAAUGCAUUUUUCCAUGUUUUCCUGUAGUUUCUGUUUUGAGUUGUUGUUAUAUUGGAUACAUAGAUAUAAUUAUAUGUUUAUGGUGAAUUACAGACUUUAGCAUUUAUAAAAUGUGUGGGUGUGUG
ensembl:lncRNA